rnacentral:lncRNA from 1 species
GUUGUGUUUGUGAUGCGAUUCAUGUUUACUGUUGAAUACUGAUACCAGACUUUCAUUUUCACUGUAGAGCGAUUUAUUACUGUUGUAUAUGCGAUGCAUUUUCACAGACAGAAGGAUUUAAUUAAUUUUCAUCAUAAAGUCGUAAUUUAGCCGACUCUCUAACAUAAUUUAUGAAGUCAGAAGGAUUGAUCAUGUAUGCAUACUUUG